UCGAUUAGAGUUUGAUCCUGGCUCAGGAUGAACGCUGGCGGCGUGCUUAACACAUGCAAGUCGAGCGGAGAUAUUAAUCGGAAGGUUUCGGCCGGAAGAUUUAUAUUUUAGCGGCGGACGGGUGAGUAACGUGUGGGCAACCUGCCCUGUAGUGUGGAAUAAUCACCGGAAACAGUGACUAAUACCGCAUGUCAUUCUUAUAAGGCAUCUUAUGAGAAGAAAAGGAGCAAUUCGCUACAGGAUGGGCCCGCAUCUGAUUAGGUAGUUGGUGAGAUAAUAGCCCACCAAGCCUACGAUCAGUAGCCGACCUGAGAGGGUGAUCGGCCACAUUGGGACUGAGACACGGCCCAAACUCCUACGGGAGGCAGCAGUGGGGAAUAUUGCACAAUGGGGGAAACCCUGAUGCAGCAACGCCGCGUGAAGGAUGAAGGGUCUAGGCUCGUAAACUUCUAUCAAUAGGGACGAAAAAAAUGACGGUACCUAAAUAAGAAGCCCCGGCUAACUACGUGCCAGCAGCCGCGGUAAUACGUAGGGGGCAAGCGUUAUCCGGAAUUACUGGGUGUAAAGGGUGAGUAGGCGGCAUGAUAAGCCAGAUGUGAAAGCCCGAGGCUUAACCUCGGGAUUGCAUUUGGAACUAUCAAGCUAGAGUACAGGAGAGGAAAGCGGAAUUCCUAGUGUAGCGGUGAAAUG
rnacentral:rRNA from 1 species